UACGGAGGGUGCAAGCGUUGUCCGGAAUCACUGGGCGUAAAGGGCGCGUAGGCGGCUCAUGAAGGCUGUGGUGAAAGUCCGGGGCUCAACCUCGGAUCGGCCGUGGCGACUCGUGGGCUGGAGCACUGUAGAGGCGGGUGGAAUUCCGGGUGUAGCGGUGGAAUGCGUAGAGAUCCGGAAGAACACCAGUGGCGAAGGCGCCCGCUGGGCAGUGGCUGACGCUGAGGCGCGACAGCGUGGGGGAGGCAAACAGG
rnacentral:rRNA from 1 species